rnacentral:rRNA from 1 species
AUUGAACGCUGGCGGCAGGCCUAACACAUGCAAGUCGAACGAGUGGCGGACGGGUGAGUUAUGUCUGGGAAACUGCCUUAGGGAGGGGGAUCACUACUGAAAACGAUAUCUAAUACCGCAUACCAUCAGAUGUGCCCAUAUGGGAUUCGCUAGUUGGUGGGGUACCGGCUCACCAAGGCGACGAUCCCUAGCUGGUCUGAGAGGAUGACCAGCCACACUGGAACUGAGACACGGUCCAGACGCCGACGGGAGGCAGCAGUGGGGAAUAUUGCACAAUGGGCGCAAGCCUGAUGCAGCCAUGCCGCGUGUAUGAAGAAGGCCUUCGGGUUGUAAAGUACGUUCAGCGGGGAGGCGUUACCCGCAGAAGAAGCACCGGCUAACUCCGGGCCAGCAGCCGCGGUAAUUC